rnacentral:rRNA from 1 species
UACAGAGGUCCCAAGCGUUGUUCGGAUUCAUUGGGCGUAAAGGGUGCGUAGGCGGCGUCGUAAGUCUGGUGUGAAAUCUCGGGGCUUAACUCCGAAACUGCAUUCGAUACUGCUGUGCUUGAGGACUGGAGAGGAGACUGGAAUUUACGGUGUAGCAGUGAAAUGCGUAGAGAUCGUGAGGAAGACCAGUGGCGAAGGCGGGUCUCUGGACAGUUCCUGACACUGAGGCACGAAGGCCAGGGGAGCAAACGGG